rnacentral:rRNA from 1 species
UACGAGUGCUCCAAGCGUUAUCCGGAAUCAUUGGGCGUAAAGGGUGUGUAGGUGGUCAUGUUAGUCUUGUGUUAAAUUCUUCGGCUCAACCCGGGGUCUGCAUGGGAAACGGCAUGACUAGAGGAUAGGAGAGGUGUGCGGAACUCAUAGUGUAGGGGUGAAAUCCGUUGAUAUUAUGGGGAACACCAAAUGCGAAGGCAGCACACUGGCCUACUCCUGACACUGAAACACGAAAGCGUGGGUAGCGAAUGGG